rnacentral:lncRNA from 1 species
GCCUCGGUCAGGGCGCAUUCCAGGGGCACAGAGUGGACCUUUUUCAAAGCGAGUGGGAUUGUGUUACUUCCUGCUUGAGCUCCGUUGGUUUCCUGUUGCAUAAACUCUAGGUCCUCCCCAGGCCGCCUUCCUCUGCCUCCCUCUCCACUCUCUGGAAUGCAGCCACCCUCGCUUCCUUCAGUUCUUCCUAUGGAGUCAGCCCGUGCCCACCACAGGACCCAGCACAGGCUCUGAGCCCCACUUCAAAUGCUCUUCUUGUUUAAAAGGGCACCAUGGAGGCUUUUUCGACAGGCAGCUCCAGCGUCACCUCCUCAUAGAGGCCUUCCUCAACCAGCCCUUCUAAAGUAACACUCUUCUCUGGCGCAGUGGCUCACACCUGUAAUCCCAGCACUUUGGGAGGCUGAGGCGGGCAGAUCACUUAAGUUCAGGAGUUUGAGACCCGCCUGGCCAGUAUGGUGAAACCCCAUCUCUACUAAAAAUACAAAAAUUAGCCAGCUGCGGUGUGCACCUGUAAUCCCAGCUACUCGGGAGGCUGAGGCAGGAGAAUCACUUGAACCCAGGAGGCAGAGGUUGCAGUGAGGCGAGGUCGCACCACUGCACUCCAGCCUGGGCGACAGAGUGGGACUCUGUCUCAAAAAAAAGAAAGAAAGAAAGAAAGAAAAAAUUAACUGGGCAUGAUAGGUGUGUCUGUAGUUCCAGCUGCUCUGGAGGCUGAGGCGGGAGGAUUGCUUGAGCCUGGGAGUUCAAGGCUGCAGUGAACCAUGAUUGUGCCACUGUACUCCAGCCUGGCCAACAGAGUGGCCCUGUUAAUUAAUUAGAGACCCUGUCUCUCCAGGCGGAGGGCAUAGCACGCGCAAAGGCCCUGAGGUAGGAGUGAACUUUGUGCAUCGGAGGAACCGAACCAUGGAAUGUGAGAGCAUCACGAUUGUGGCAGCAGCUUUCAAGAAAGUAUCUAAAAACAAACAAAAGGUCCACAAUCCGAAUUUCUUGCCUCCUUUUUUUUUUUUAGAUGCAGCCUCAAACUCCUGGGCUCAGGUAAUCCUCCCUAGUAUCUUAGACAACAGGCACCCGCCACCACACCUGGCUCUGUCAGACUGUGACUGUCAGACCCUGUCUCUAAUUAAUUAAUGCUCUUUAGUCCUGUUUUAUUUUCAUCGUCGUUCUGUUUUAUUUUCAUCACACCCUGACAUCGUCUGUCCUGACUUUUCACCACUUGUUUCCUCCAUGUUUCUGCAGAGAAACACCACGAGGGCAAAAACCUUACCUGGCCUCACAGCUGAAUCCCCAGCACCAGCACAGGGCCCGGUGCAUGCAAGGGGCGUGAUGGUUUGUGGAAUGAAUGAAUGAACGAAUGAAUGAAUGAGGGACCUACCCCCACUGGAGGAAGUCAGGAAAGGCUUGCCGAGGAAGUGGUAUCUGAAGUGGCAUUGAUGGGUGAGAAGGAGUUCGGCUGUUCACCCCGACUUUGGCCAAUGAUUAGAACUCCCUGGGGGCCAGCACUUGUGGCCCGCACUCAGCGGUCUCCCAGGGUCUGGGUCGGGCACAGGGGUUGGUGUGUGUUGGAACUCCCUGUGUGAUUCUCAUAUGCACACUAGGCUGAGAGCCGUUCAUCGGGGGUCUUGGUUCUCCUCCAGGUGUUCUCCAGGGCAGCAGCACCAGGCCACCUGGGAAUGUGAUAGAAAUGCAGGUUUUUAGGCCAGUCGUGGUGGCUCAUGCCUGUAAUCCCAGCACUGUGGGAGGCCAAGGCUGGAGGAUAACUUGAGCCCAGGAGUUUGAGACCAGCCUGGGUAACAUAGUGAGAUACCAUCUCUACAAAAAAACAUUGUUUUAAUUAGCCAGUCAUGGUGGCAAGUGCCUGUAGCCCCAGCUACUCAGGAGGCUGAGGUGGGAGGAUCUCUUGAGCCUGGGAGGUCGAGGCUGCAGUGAGCCAUGUCCACACCACUGCACUCCAGCCUGAGCAAUAGAGCAAUAGCCUGUCUCAAAAAAAAAAAAAAAAA